CCCUUAGAUGUCCGGGGCCGCACGCGCGCUACACUGAAGGAAUCAGCGUGGCUUUCUCCCUGACCCGAAAGGGUUGGGAAACCCGUUGAAUCUCCUUCGUGAUAGGGAUUGGGGCUUGAAAUUGUUCCCCAUGAACGAGGAAUUCCCAGUAAGCGCGAGUCAUAAGCUCGCGUUGAUUACGUCCCUGCCCUUUGUACACACCGCCCGUCACUACUACCGAUUGAACGGUUUAGUGAGGGCCUCGGAUUGGUCUCGGCCCGCUCUUUACCGGGCGGCGCCGUUGGUCGAGAAGACGCUCGAACUUGAUCGUUUAGAGGAAGUAAAAGUCGUAACA
rnacentral:rRNA from 1 species